UNGGUUUCCCAAGAUCCCAGGGCCUCCCUACU
rnacentral:piRNA from 1 species